AAUGUACACAAUUAUAAAGUUUAAGCUCAAAUUGAAUUUUAAAUUCAAUUUUAUAAAGGUUUAUUAUUUAUCAAAUUAGCACUAUCUAAUUUGGUAAGUAACAAAAUUAAAUAAGGAAACAAAUAUUUGUGUAGGGUUAAUCAAAUUUGGUAAUUAGCUUGUUUUUGUUUUCCCAUAUUAUCCUUACGAACGGUAACCUGUUGAGCAAGUAACUAUUUUGCAAAAGUCAAUCUCGUCUUUAAAAUAUGAACGGCUAGAUUUAAUUUAGCCGGUGUAUUGAAGCAAUCCUCAUAUUUUAUAUCAAAUUCAAUCGUCAGUUUUAUAGUGU
rnacentral:lncRNA from 1 species